GCUGCCUGAAGAGGAGUUGGGACUUAAACAGAAACAAUUUUCUAACUUGAACUUGGGAGUUUGCAGCCUACCGUCAGAGUCUCGGUGGUGAUCCUCCUGCUUCAGCAUCCUGAGUGGCUGAGAUUACAAGCCUACAUACACCACCAUGGCCAGAUCACUGUCAUCUAUCAAUAUGGUUUCUAUGUAUGAAAACAUCAUCUUCACCUUUCGGCCCGUGCUGUGUCAUCCAGACUGAGGAAGAUCUGGCAACUCCAGGUGUUUCCUGUAUCAGCAAUUGGGCAGAACCAAUAGAUUCAGAUCCUGGAAGAGGACCUGGAAGUUUGGGCAUAGAAGAUAAGGCAGAACAUACAGAAUGAUCUUCUAACCAGGUGUUCUAGUUUGCCUACCAAAACAACAAAAGAAGUAUGAGUGAGCUGAAAAGAUUGGGAGCACCUUCAGACCACAACAAAAGAAGUAUGAGUGAGCUGAAAAGAUUGGGAGCACCUUCAGACCACAACAUAAGUGAUCACCAGAGAGAAAGUGCCUCUGACAAGGAUGAUGAGAAGGUUUCAGCCAGGGUGCCAGUAUUUCUGCAAGAUAAAAAUGGACGUCAGAACAUCUCCUCUUUCUGAAAAACUCAUCAUUUAAUCCCCCUGCCUUGCUCCAUCACUGGUGGAGAGUAAUGGUUAGGACCAUGUCAAUGUCGCAGAAGAUUUUACAGUGCAAUAGUUGUGGGUCUUUGUCAGCUACAUUCUCCAUAUAGAGAGAUACAAAGCAAACAAUCCCAAGGCCUUACAUAUAAGUAAGUACUUCCUUCUGAAAGUUUUUUCCUAUUCACUGUCUUUCCAUUUUUGUUAUCAAUUUUGAGAUUAGAUGCUGUUUUCUCAUGCUUUUUUUCACCUAACAAAAAUAAGUAGAAUAAUCUGAAUUUAAGUAUUACCCUGCUAGCAUGAAUUGUUUGAAGUUUUAAGUUGCAAUAUCAUCAGCUGAAAAUAUCUAGGCUAAAAGUGAAUACAGGAUAAUAUCACCAGAAAUAUUGAAUAUUAACUCAUUUGUACAUUUUCUAACUUUAUCUUCGACCACCUCAAUCACAGUGAAUCCUCUAUUAGAAUGUAAGAUCUAUGUGUUCUGAGGACAUCUAUGAAUAAUUCAAACGUCUUCACAGAAUGACACAUAGUAGGUGUUUAAACAUUUAUUGAAUAGAAUAAUUCAGUUGUUAGUUCAAUUUGAGAUAUACUAUAUUUCUAAUAUAAUAUUCCCUUUUAUCCAAAUAAGUGAAUUCUUAUAGUAUAUUAUAUUCUUUCUUAUGCACAAACCAAAAUUUUGCCCCCAGGGAGAAAUUUAGAAAAAUCAUAAAAAAACAGUUAUAGUGGUCAGAUUUCUAAGAACAUUUCCUUAUGAAUAUGAAGGCCAUAGAUAUUUAUAAAUCACAAACAGUUAUUGAUAUCCUAAAAUGUUUUGUCUCACAUACAUAUUUUAUUUGCUGUGCCAUAAUUUGCCGUACCACUCAACAGAUGUUUAGAGCAUUUCAAAUAUUGUGCUAAUGUUACAGAAUUGCACGGGGUUAUACAUAGCAUUGGAGUGCUGUUUCUGGCAAGCUUUACUAAGUAGUAACUAGAAAAAGACAGUCCAUGAUAAGAAUUCCACUCCACACAGAACUCUUGCUUUAUGACAGGUGUGUGUGUGUGUGUGUGUGUGUGUGUGUGUGUGUGUGUGUGUGUGUGUUUUGUUUGUUUGUUUGUUUUUUGGUUUUUUUUUUUUGGCCUACCAAUAUGCUCAAGGCCUUGUUUUUUCAAAGGACUGUGAACUUUCUGUCAGUAGUCUAUCAGGGCACAGGAUUCUAUCUCAACAGUAGUGAACAAGCCUUUACCAAGUGUGUGAUAUAAUAUAGAGUUGAAUAGAAUGAACAUUAGUCUGGCAUUGUGAAACCCAUGGAGCGGAGACCAUAUCUUAUUCUGUGUUCAGGACUUGAGUUUCAAAUGAAAGGAAAAACUGAAACAAUUUUUAUUUAUAACUAUUUGAGUUUCAAAAAAGGUUUCCACCAGUGGCUAGCGGGAGGCUACACAGUAGGAAUUUGGUACUUAAUUUAAAGUAUGUGAGUUUUUGUGUAAUAAAUAUUCAUUUCAGUUUCCUGAUUGCUUUAACCAAUGUAAUACUUCCUUUGACAUAUAUAACAAGUAUUAUAAAAAUGCAUUCAUCUUAAAAUGAAACAGGCAAAUGUGCUUUUGAAUUGAUAACUCUGCAUGUCAAUUAAACACUGUUGAAGCUUAUUUAAAACUUAAUGUAUUUUGAAAAUAUUUGUACUGAAUAAUAUGUAUGUGUAAUUUCAACUAACAUAUAGAAGUUACC